rnacentral:rRNA from 1 species
AUGAAAGACAGAUGCUGGACCUCGGACCGUCUUGCACGGAGAGGCCUACCGCAUCAAGCCGCAUGCCCUUUCUGUGAUCAAGAGGAGGAAACGAUCAAUCAUCUUAUGCUCAUGUGUGUGUUCACUAGAACAAUCUGGGCGGCUAUUUGUGUUGCGCCGGAUUCACCAGCUUGGAUCCCAUCUGCCCAAGACUCACUGGUGGAGUGGACGAUUGACAAGCGUGGAUCGAACAAUGUGAGUACGAAGGACCUGCGCACCAUUUUUGCACGUACGUGGUGGGAGUUGUGGAAGCAUAGGAAUGCAAUCAUCUUUGAGGGUGCACGGCCAUCGGUUCUUCAGUUGCUACAAAAGAUUUGUUAUGAGGGUUUGGUUUGGUCCUUUUCCGAGUUACUAAAAGGGAAUGCAACUCCCUUCUUUAGUAGGGUAGAGAAGUGA